rnacentral:rRNA from 1 species
AUUGAACGCUGGCGGCAGGCCUAACACAUGCAAGUCGAGCGGAUGAGUGGAGCUUGCUCCAUGAUUCAGCGGCGGACGGGUGAGUAAUGCCUAGGAAUCUGCCUGGUAGUGGGGGACAACGUUUCGAAAGGAACGCUAUUACCGCAUACGUCCUACGGGAGAAAGGGGGGGAUCUUCGGACCUCACGCUAUCAGAUGAGCCUAGGUCGGAUUAGCUAGUUGGUGAGGUAAAGGCUCACCAAGGCGACGAUCCGUAACUGGUCUGAGAGGAUGAUCAGUCACACUGGAACUGAGACACGGUCCAGACUCCGACGGGAGGCAGCAGUGGGGAAUAUUGGACAAUGGGCGAAAGCCUGAUCCGGCCAUGCCGCGUGUGUGAAGAAGGUCUUCGGAUUGUAAAGCACUUUAAGUUGGGAGGAAGGGCAGUAAGUUAAUACCUUGCUGUUUUGACGUUACCAACAGAAUAAGCACCGGCUAACUUCGUGCCAGCAGCCGCCGUAAUAC